AUUUAAUAAUCAUCCAUGCCAAAGCGUAAAUUUCUGUCGCGUAUCUCAACAAGAUGUCGUAAAUUAAUUCGAGAAGAGAGCGAUUAUAAAUUAUUGCCUUAUUUAAUGAAGAAUCUAGAAUUAAUUCGCACGCAAUUUUAAAUAAUUCUACCCCGGAUAAUGAUCAUGACAAGAUUGUCAAUUUUAAUAAUACUAUUUCCGAAUGUGAUACUUCUUUAAUUAAUAAACAAAAAGCAAUAGAUUUAUUAUUUUCCAAUUUAACAAAUAUUUCUGCACCUGAUAUUUCUUUAAAUAAUAUACUUUUUCACCGAGAGGACAGUGUAAUGGAAGAUACUAUAAAAAAGAGAUGAUAAUAAUUCAGAAAAAGAAAACGAUUUUUAAGACAUUUUUAAUACAUUGGGCUGUCAGGCAUCGUAUUUCUCAUGUAGCGUUAUCGCAUUUAUUAUCCGGUUUGAGAACAGCGCAUCCAACUUUUCCUAAUUUCUCAAAAUGUGCAAAGACGUUAUUACAUAUACCACAAUCCUCACCAUUAUCAUUGAAAUGUUUCCUGGACAAUAUUGUCAUUUUGGUAUUGAACAUGGUAUUUUUCAAUUCUUAUCCACAAGCAAGAAUACGGUUUCAUCUUGUAUUCAGAUUCAAAUUGGUAUCAAUGGUCUUCUAAUUUCUCAAUCAAACUCAAAUCAGUUAUGGCCCAUUUUAGGUCGAAUUAUGUCUCACAAGAAAGUAAUUCUUAUAGGUUGUUAUUUCGGAAAAACCAAACCAACGGAUACGAAUAAAUUUCUACAACAAUUUGUAGAAAAUGUCAAUAAUUUAAUUAAUAAGGGCAUAACUUAUAACGAGAAAACAUUUGUAGUAUUAAUAGACUCUAUCAUAUGUAAUGCUCCUGCUAAGUCUUUCUUACUAAAAUUAUUCUUAUUAAAGGGCAUACGGGCUAUUUCAGCGAGUGAGUCCUAGAUGCGCACAGAUCGAAAUGGAUACCACCAAUCAAAUUCUAUAAAUUUAUCCUAACUCCAAGUUUCCAAAUACUUUCUUAAUAUCAGACGUUUUAUUACUAAAGAAUUUGCAAGAAAGCCAUGAGAAAUACAAGAUUUUGCACAGUGAAAAGCAACUGAAUUGAGACAAUUUCUGUUAUAUACCGGUCCUGUUAUUACAAAGAGAAUUAAAUUCUGAUAUUUUCUCCAAUUUUCUUACUUUGCACAUUGCUGUUCGCAUUUUAUGUCAGAAAAGUCCAAUCGAAUAUAUUGACUAUGCGGAUAAAUUAAUGAAACAUUUUGUUAAAUGCUUUAUUCAAAUUUACGGACCCGAAUUUGUAUCCCAUAAUAUUCUUUUACAUAUAACUGACUGCGUAAAACAAUUUGGACUUAGAUACUUUUAGUACUUUUGCGUUUGAAAACUUUAUGAAAGAGUUGAAAUCAACUUUAAGAAAACCGGAUAAACCAUUAAAGCAAAUUAGCAAUUUGCUAUGCGGAGAUGAGUUUUUGUAACAUAAAUUCUAACAAUAUAAAUGUUUCAUCAAAAAUUAACGUAAAAUCCCCAUAUGAAAGUAAUCCAUUGAUAUCGGGUUGUUACAGCCCGCAAUUUUCGAAGAUUGAAUUUCUUCAGUUUAUUAUUUCAAUUAAAUCUCUUGAUAAUUGUUGUCUUAUAGAAAAUGAUAUCGUCUGUUUAAAAAAUAUCGCAACAUCGAGUGAAGGCAAUUACGUUGUAGAUCGAUAAAUUUAAAAUUGUUGAGGAACUUUAUAAUUAUCUAUGCAGCUCUGUCCGUUUGGAUAUAUUUAAAGUCAGUAAAUUAUCCGCUCUUCAAGUUUGACUUUUAUAUAAAAUUAAUUACAAAUUUAUAAAAUUAUCAUACACAGAAAAUGAUAAAGAAGAUAAAAAAGUUUUUGCAAUAAUACCGUUAAUAAGCACUGCGCAUUUAUAAUGUAUAACAUAGAUGUAUAUAUAUAUAUCAUGCUACGCUUCGUAUAAUCUUCUUAUUAGGAAAAAUUGUAUACGUGAUCUAUAGAUGAGAUGACAAAACAAAUUUUCUCGUGCAAAGGUCUAAAUAGAUCUUGUGUGUAUGUGUGUUUACGAUGUUCGCGGAAAUAAAUUUAUUAAGAGUUUCAGGUGAAAAUGCCGAAUCAAUGAUUUAUUGUCGCAGAAUUCUUCGACGGUAUUCAAGUAAUAUAAAAAAUUUGGUUACAAAAUGAGGAUUUGUGUAAAUAUCCUCCACAUUACAAAACAGAUUCAAGAAUUCGGAAAGCGAUUGAAAAAGAAGAAACGCCAGCUUCUUAUUAGGUUGUUUUAAAAUUGAUCGGAUUUUUGGCAAGUAUUCUUCCCUACAAAAGGCCGAUGAAAAAGCAGAAAAGGCAAUCUAUACGUCAGACAUGGAUACCGAUAAGGAAGCGAGAAGAAAUAAAAAAUUUAGAGCGAAUACGAUUAUAUCCUCGUCCGAAGAAGAACCACGCAUCAUUCUACCAUCUGCUCCAUGUCCACCAAAAUUCAACGAUUGUACAAUUAUACAAGUGAACCUAAAAGUUCAACCACGACAUGUUCUGGGGAUUUUGCGAAAAGAAACAGCGAAUCAUAAAAGGUCCCAAAUUCAAGCUCCAACUUAUAUUUGCAAGGUGUGGAUAAGUAUAAUAUUUCCAAUGUAACGGCAAUAUAUCCAACAGAGGAAAAUAAAGAUUUAAAUAGGGACGUGAAUAAAAGGGAGGAAAUCGGGCAAAGCUGUAUACAAGAGAAAGAGAGUCAAAGAGAGAAAAGAGAUGACCAUUUAAAUUGUCAAUCUUCACAAGAUGCAAGUAAAUAUUCAUUCAAAUGGUAAGUAAAUAUUCACGGAGGUAUAAUUAAUGGAGGUGGAGGAGUCUUGAUACAUUGUAAUUUUCAACAUAAUGCUGCAAUAGUAAGUUAACGUACAUUUACAUUAGUGUUAAAUACAAUAUAAAAAUUUUAGUAAAAGAGGCAAUUAUAUAAAAUAAUCGAACUUGUUAUUAUGUAAAAUAAUAUUUUGAUAAUUGAAUACAUGUAGUGCAUUCUACAAUUACUACCAAGUGCAAUGUAUAAUCAAUUUUAAUAAAUAAUUCCGCAAUAACGACUACAAUAAUAUUAUUUCAUAGUUUCACAUUUUAUAUAAGACUUUAUUUAAUUAAACUAAGUGUAAAAAGUAGAGAUGGGCGAUACAGUAGAAAAUAUCGAUAUUGCGUAUCGAUACGUAUUAUAAAUAAGAAUAUCGAUAUACACUAAAAAUAUCGCAUUAAAAAUAUUGAUAUUUAAUAGUAUCGAUACUCGAUACUGUCCAUAAUCCAUACCUCUUUUGAGAACAAAGCGGUCCGCUAAUCAUUGUCAUCGUUAAAUCAUUUAGUUUUGUAAUUAAUGUAAACUAAUUUUCUUAAGUAUGUAGUUUAAGUAUGGAACUCUGUUGCAAACAAUUUAUCAAAUUAUUGUUCAAAAAGAAAAAAUUAAUUACAACAAAUACAUAUGCAAUAAGUAGUCUAAUGUCGGUUUUAUUAUUUCCACAUAUAAUAAGAAAAAAUGUUAUAG
rnacentral:lncRNA from 1 species